rnacentral:rRNA from 1 species
GAACGACGCGUGGCGGCAUCGACCUAACACAUGACAAGUACGAACGACGUACCGUUCGGGUCGUAGGUGGCGCACGGGUGCGUAACGCGUGGGGAUCUGCCCUUUGCUUCGGAAUAACAGUUAGAAAUGACUGCUAAUACCGGAUGAUGUCGUAAGACCAAAGAUUUAUCGGCAAAGGAUGAACCCGCGUAGGAUUAGCUAGUUGGUGGGUAAAGGCCUACCAAGGCGACGAUCCUUAGCUGGUCUGAGAGGAUGAUCAGCCACACUGGGACUGAGACACGGCCCAGACUCCUACGGGAGGCAGCAGUGGGGAAUAUUGGACAAUGGGCGAAAGCCUGAUCCAGCAAUGCCGCGUGAGUGAUGAAGGCCUUCGGGUUGUAAAGCUCUUUACCAGGGAUGAUAAUGACAGUACCUGGAGAAUAAGCUCCGGCUAACUCCGUG